rnacentral:rRNA from 1 species
UACGAAGGGUGCAAGCGUUACUCGGAAUUACUGGGCGUAAAGGGCGCGUAGGUGGUGUGUCAAGUCAGGCGUGAAAGUCCUGGGCUCAACCUGGGAACUGCGCUUGAUACGGCAGAGCUAGAGGAUGGAAGAGGCUCGCGGAAUUCCCAGUGUAGAGGUGAAAUUCGUAGAUAUUGGGAAGAACACCAGUGGCGAAGGCGGCUAACUGGUCCAGAUCUGACGCUGAGGUGCGAAAGCGUGGGGAGCAAACAGG